CAGGAAUAUCCCUUGGAGACUUGCCCUGCCUAGCCCAGCAGGACUUGCUGACUCGUGUCUGAGCGGGUGUGUGUGAGCAGGUUGCCGUUUGAGCAUGCUUGUGUUCCAUCCCUCCCUGUCUGCGUUGAUGAACACACCCAGUCCCCCAUCUGGCUGUGACUCCCUUGGAUGUCGGCUCUCUUCCUCUGGAUUAGAUUCCAUCCUCCUAGGGUAAGGACUAAGUCAUACCUGGAAUCCCCUGAGCUCAAGGACCGUAGCCCACCUUCCUUGGAUCCAGAUCUCUCCCAAGACAAGAAGAGGCUCCCUCUACAGAAGUGGCCAUCACCGUGGUGGAUGGGUGUCUCUGGGAGCUGGCAUUGCUUAUUUCUCCUCAGUCAACUUUAAAAGGCCUUCCUCAUGGAGAGUCAGAACUCU
rnacentral:lncRNA from 1 species